UAAUUUUCCCCGAUAGUUACUAUGGAAGCUAUAAGAUAUAGUUGUCCGAUCCGGCUGGUUCCCACUUAUAUGUUACCUGGAAUAGGAAGAAGACUUUUUGGAAAGUUUUAACUCGAUUACUUGAAAACUGGCUAGAUCGACUCACCUAGUGAUACAUUCUUUAUGGGGUCGGAAACGUCUCUUUCACUGCGUUGCAAACUUCUGAAUAAAAUCAUUAUAAUUCUGCAAGGGUGUAAAUAUCUAAUAAGAAUUUCUUCUUGUCAAAUUACGGUUGCAAGUAAUCAACAAAAUGCUUUUCAUACUGAACAGAACAGCUCAGCUUUAGCUCCUUCAGUUAACGGUCGUGUUAUUGUCUUGCACUCCGUAUGUUUGUAUUUAAAUUUCUUACAUUUAUAUAGCUUUUUAUGUCCCUAACAACAUCCGUGUGCUGUUUAAAUUAACAAAAUUAGAUUGCACGCCCAGUCACUGUGCAGUGUUUAUUGUUAUAGUGAUGGUAGUGCGAAUGGAUUUGUUGCACGGUUUGGCUGAAAGACAUUUCGAAGGUGUAAAGCAAAAGUACAAGCUCUGUCUUUGUUGCUUCUGGCCCAGCUGCCUGAAGAGUCUCUUAUGGGAAUUUAGAUUUUUAGUGAGAGAGUUUUCCUUGUUGGCAGGGCAGGGUUCGGAGCCGUGGCAGUAUCCACAAGCUACACAUACUGACCUGAAGCGCAAACAAACGAGAAAAUGAGUGUGAAAUCCAACUAAUUCAUUGAGAAAAACGGGACAGCAAAGUGCAAACUUUGCAACAAAGGAGUAAAAACCAGCGGCAAUACCAUGUUACCAUUCCGAGCUCAAGUCGCUCCUUCCUCACAAUCACAGCUCACUUCCUUUAUCAAGAGUCACUGAACUCAAUAUGUCUGAAAUCUACAAGGAUGGAGCAUUCUCAUACCAGUGAAUAUAUAGCCUCAUUGUUGAAAGAAGCUUGCUCAGAGUUUCAAAUAGAGCGAGCCAAGUGGACUACCCUCACUACCGACAGUGCAGAAAAUAUGAAAUGCGCUGCCAAACUUUUUCUGGGGCCUAGCAAACAUGUGCCGUGCUUCGCGCACUCCAUAAACUUGGUAGUAGAUGAUACUAUUAAAGAGAUUUAUUUAUUUACCAACAUUUUGGAUAAAAUAAAAAGAAUUGUCAUGCAUUUUAAGCACAGUACGUCUAUGAUGGACCAACUGCGAAAGGCUCAAGCCGAUGAGAGUACUCCGAAAGGAAAAAUAAGAACAUUGGUUCAAAUCGUAGACACCCGCUGGAAUUCAUAUGUAGACAUGGUGGAGUCCUUCUUAGGCUUAGCCACCAAAGUAGCAGUGAUAUUAAUUCAAAGAUCAGAACGAGUUAAGGGACUACCCGAAAUGCUCAAUGCCUUAGAGCUCAGCCAUUUAAACAAGCCACUGAGCAGAUUAGCGGUGAACAGUACGUCACCGUAAGCAUGGUGAUUCCACUUAUUUCGCUACUGGAAAACAACAUUAAAGAAUUAAAUAUGGAAACAGACGUGGGAAAGCGAACCAAGGAGGCUCUUUUAAGGAAUUCAGAAAAGAGGUUCCAGUCGUUAAAAAAAAUUUUAGUGAAAUCGUCAUUUUAAGACUCUAGGUUCAAAAAAAUGUAUUUGACACCGCUUUCUGUAAGGGAGGCCAUUCUCACAUAACCAUUGAAACCGAUAUAUUUACCCAAGAAAAAAGGAUUUCUGAUGACGAACAAAUAAAUAACUUCAAGGACUUUAAGAGCUUCCAUAACAAGUCCAUCGCAAAUGACAGUGACGAAUCGGAGAACAAGGAGCUAAAACUUUAUUUUAGCUUGCCCAAAGCUGCGUGGGAAAGCAAUCCCCUGGAAAUAUGGAAAUCGCACAAAGCGACUAUGCCGGGCCUGUACAAGCUGGCCAUGAAGUAUUUAAUCACCCCGGGAAGUUCGGUGCCCUCAGAGCGGCUGGCGUCCGCCAUUAAAUGUGUGGUGUGUGACUCAAGGAGCAGGAUGACGGACGCACACAUUACCCAAAGAGUAUUCCUAAAAUCCCUAAAAACGGCAAACUGGUCUUAAGAACUAUUUAAUAAUACUGUUAUUUUU